rnacentral:misc_RNA from 1 species
UAUUGAAUAUUUGUAAGAAUGUGGCAACAUUAAUAUUUUAAUUAUAAUAGUUUUGGUGGUUGGUUAUUUAAUUUUAAGUAUGGCAACUCUCUCUGUGUCCGCCGGUCAAGGCGAUCAUCCAUUUUGUGUGUAGCACCGAAAAUAAAAAAUAAAACAACGCAAUUAAUCCAAAGUUAUAACCUUUUAUUUCGCUCCAUCCGCUGCUAAUAUACCUGAAAAC